CACCCAUCCAUCCAUCCAUCCACCCAUCCAUCCAUCCAUCCACCCAUCCAUCCAUCCAUCCACCCAUCCAUCCAUCCAUCCACCCAUCCAUCCAUCCAUCCACCCAUCCACCCAUCCAUCCAUCCACCCAUCCAUCCACCCAUCCACCAGUCCAUCCAUCCACCCAUCCACCCACCCACCCAUCCAUCCAUCCAUCCACCCAUCCAUCCAUCCACCCAUCCAUCCACCCACCCAUCCACCCAUCCAUCCAUCCAUCCACCCAUCCAUCCAUCCACCCAUCCAUCCAUCCACCCAUCCACCAGUCCAUCCAUCCACCCAUCCAUCCACCCAUCCACCCUCUCUGGACACCAGCUCCACGUGGAGGUCAUCGUUCUCACGGCCUCAUGGGGCGGACAUCUGCCAUCUUGGGUGUGAGGAAACGCAGCCCAUGAGGGGUGUGGCUCUUCCGAUGUCCUUCCAGGACGUGGCUGGGGCUCCUUCCUCCAGGGAGGGACCCCUGGGGCCAGGCUGGUGGAGUGUCCAAUUUUGCAUGAAUGGAGCAAAGAAGCCACCAGAUCCCUGUGUCCCAUUGGUCACCCAUCAAGUGACACUCCCAAAACAGACCCCGUGUGUCCCCAGGCUUUCUGGGAGGUCAGGAGGCCCGGAUUGCAAACUGGAGGCCAGCCUCAGCUCCAUAGGGAGGCCCUAUGGAGCAACUUCGCGAGACCCUGACUC
rnacentral:lncRNA from 1 species